rnacentral:rRNA from 1 species
UACAGAGGUGGCAAGCGUUGUUCGGAAUUACUGGGCGUAAAGGGCGCGUAGGCGGCCAUCUAAGUCAGACGUGAAAUCCCCCGGCUUAACCUGGGAACUGCGUCUGAUACUGGACGGCUUGAGUUUGGGAGAGGGAUGCAGAAUUCCAGGUGUAGCGGUGAAAUGCGUAGAUAUCUGGAGGAAUACCGGUGGCGAAGGCGGCAUCCUGGACCAAUACUGACACUGAGGAGCGAAAGCCAGGGGAGCAAACGGG